rnacentral:rRNA from 1 species
GUGGGGAAUAUUGGACAAUGGGCGAAAGCCUGAUCCAGCAAUGCCGCGUGAGUGAUGAAGGCCUUAGGGUUGUAAAGCUCUUUUACCAGGGAUGAUAAUGACAGUACCUGGAGAAUAAGCUCCGGCUAACUCCGUGCCAGCAGCCGCGGUAAUACGGAGGGAGCUAGCGUUGUUCGGAAUUACUGGGCGUAAAGCGCACGUAGGCGGUUACUCAAGUCAGAGGUGAAAGCCCGGGGCUCAACCCCGGAACUGCCUUUGAAACUAGGUAGCUGGAAUCUUGGAGAGGUCAGUGGAAUUCCGAGUGUAGAGGUGAAAUUCGUAGAUAUUCGGAAGAACACCAGUGGCGAAGGCGACUGACUGGACAAGUAUUGACGCUGAGGUGCGAAAGCGUGGGGAGCAAACAGGAUUAGAUACCCUAGUAGUCC